rnacentral:rRNA from 1 species
GACGAACGCUGGCGGCGUGCUUAACACAUGCAAGUCGAACGGAAAGGCCCUGCUUUUGUGGGGUGCUCGAGUGGCGAACGGGUGAGUAACACGUGAGUAACCUGCCCUUGACUUUGGGAUAACUUCAGGAAACUGGGGCUAAUACCGGAUAGGAGCUCCUGCUGCAUGGUGGGGGUUGGAAAGUUUCGGCGGUUGGGGAUGGACUCGCGGCUUAUCAGCUUGUUGGUGGGGUAGUGGCUUACCAAGGCUUUGACGGGUAGCCGGCCUGAGAGGGUGACCGGCGUCAUUGGGACUGAGAGACGGACCAGACUCCUACGGGAGGCAGCAGUGGGGAAUAUUGCACAGUGGGGGGAAGCCUGAUGCAGCAACGCCGCGUGCGGGAUGACGGCCUUCGGGUUGUAAACCGCUUUCGCCUGUGACGAAGCGUGAGUGACGGUAAUGGGUAAAGAAGCACCGGCUAACUACGUG